GCGAAAUCGCCGAAGUGAAACGAGCGUGGCCCAAUCGCGCCGUCAUCGUGUCCGCCAUGGUCGAAUCCACGCCCGAGGCCUGGCACGACAUCAUCCGACGCAUCGAAGACACCGGCGCCGACGGCAUCGAGCUCAACUACGGAUGCCCCCACGGUAUGAGCGAGCGAGGCAUGGGCGCCGCGGUUGGCCAGGUACCCGAGUACUGCGAAAAGAUCACGCGCUGGGUGAUGGACGUGGCCAAGAUCCCCGUCAUCGUCAAGCUAACGCCGAAUAUCACCAACGUUGUGAUGCCAGCCCGUGCCGCCGUUGCCGCCGGAGCCAACGCCCUCUCGCUCAUCAACACCAUCAACUCCAUCACGGCCAUCGAUCUCGACACGCUCGAAAUCUCGCCCAACAUUGGCGGCAAGGGCGGCCACGGCGGCUAUGCGGGUCCCGCCGUGAAGCCGAUCGCCCUCAACAUGCUCUCGGCGUUGGGGACAGAUAGCGUGGUUCACGGCUCCGGCCUGCCCAUCUCUGGAAUGGGUGGCAUCACCACCUGGAAGGACGCCGCUGAAUUCCUCUUGCUUGGCGCUCAGAGUCUGCAAGUCUGCACCGCCGUGAUGCACUACGGCUUCCGCAUAAUCGAGGACCUCUGCGACGGCCUCUCCAAUUGGAUGGAUUCGAAAGGCUUCGCCACCAUCGCCGACGUCAGCGGCAAGAGCCUCCAUCGCAUCUCCGACUUCAAGAACUUCGACCUCGCCUUCCGCGCCGUCGCCCGCAUCGACCCGGCCAAAUGCAUCCAAUGCAACCUCUGCUACGUGGCUUGCAACGACACGGCCCAUCAAUGCAUCGACCUCGUCGACGCCUCAGGCGAUCGCGUUCAACCUUACUCGUAUCCCGUCAGUUCGAACGGCAAGAUUGAGGCCACCACAACCCGCCCCAACCCAGUUGUUCGCGAACCCGAUUGCGUCGGCUGCCGCCUCUGCUACAACAUCUGCCCCGUCGAUCACUGCAUCUCCAUGGUCGAAGGGCCCUCCGGUCGUUCCGUCCGUCACCUGGGAUGAGCUGAUGACGGCCCGCCC
rnacentral:misc_RNA from 1 species